rnacentral:rRNA from 1 species
GUCUACAGCCAUACUACCCUAAAUAUGGCUGAUCUUGCCUGAUCUCUGAAGCUAAGCAGCGAUCUGGGCCUGGCUAGUACUUGCAUGGCAGAAAGAUGCAGGCAAUGAACACA